rnacentral:lncRNA from 1 species
AUGUCCAGGAAAGAUACAGCGACCUCGAAGUCCAACUACUUCCUUAAGAUCAUCCAACUUUUGGAUGAUUAGCCAAAAUGUUUCAGUGUGGGAGCAAACAAUGUGGGCUCCAAGAAGAUGCAACAGAUCCACAGGGAAGGUUGUGGUACUAAAGGGCAAGAACACCAUGAUGUGCAAGGCCAUGAAGGGGCGUCUGGUAAAUAACCAAGCUCUGGAGAAACUGCUGCUUUAUAUCCAGGGUAAUGUGGACUUUAAAGACCUUAUCAAGAUUAGUUGCUGUUGGCCAAUAAGGUGCCAGCUGCUGGUGCCUUCACCCCAUGUGAGGUAACUGUGCCAGCUCAGCACACUGGUUUGGGGUCUGAU